UACACACUCGCUCCGUCCUAAAAUUCUUGUCUUAGAUUUGUCUAGAUACGGAUGUAUCAAGUCACGUUUUAGUAUUAGGUACAUCCGUAUCUAGGCAAAUUUAAGACAAGAAUUUUGAGAUGGAGGGAGUAUUAU
rfam:Triticum aestivum genome assembly, contig: Triticum_aestivum_CS42_TGACv1_scaffold_579151_7BL